rnacentral:rRNA from 1 species
GCCAGCAGCUAGCUCUCUGCAACUCUCACAUGGUCGCCCACUGAAGCUUAGCAGGGCUGAGCCUGGUCAGUACCUGGACGGGAGACCACAUGGGAAAACUAGGUUGCUGUCGGAA